rnacentral:lncRNA from 1 species
GGAGCCAGAGAGAGAGGAAAUUCUUAAUUCACAUAUGUGUUUUUAGCUGAGAGUGUUCCUGAGAUGCUUUUAUUUGAUUUGCUCAUGGAACAAACAAACAAACAAACAAAACCACACAUUUUUGGAUGAAACCAUUCUAUUACGUUUUUACAUGUAUUCCUAUGAAUGAAUGGUUCUUAAUCUAUCAACAAACUUUACCAAAACCAGCAAGAUUUGACUUUACCAAAAACAGCAAGAUUACUUGUAUGGGUUAUGAAAAAUAAAGUUUUACAAGGCAACUUCAAUGUACAAUUUGUUUCUUAAUGUGUGUUGUCUUAUAUCAAAAAAACAAGGACCUUAUGUAAAACUUAUUUUAGGCACUAGCUUGAUGAGUGUAAGGGGGAUGAUUUCAGAAGACUAAGGAAGAGAGACAGAAGCGUAUUGACUGAUUCAACAUGCUGCUUAGCAACUACUGAAUUUGACUUUUGGAACUUGCUCAAAAUAAGACUCUUCAGCAUUCUUGAACCAUGGCCAGACCUGUUGGAAACUUCUGCUUAUCAGGCUAGAGCAUCCACCAAGGGAAUCUUCUCUUCUGAUAGCUUUCUGUUUGCUAAUUAUUCACGGGAAAGUGAGGUGUUGUGGUGUCUUUGCCCAUGCUGUCUGUCCAGAAUAUGGCCAACCAGUCAUUUGGAUAAUAAUCUUUGAUAGAGGUUAUGUGACUGAGGAAAGUAACUGGUUUUAAAAGUUUCAGUGUGCUUAUUGUCAGUCCAUCCACUAAACUGGAUUGCAAUUUUUCUACUGCCUGAAUUGAGAACACAGAUAAACCAGUAACUGUGUAUCCAACAAUAUCCUCUGCCACAGUUUGUCAUGUGCCUCCUU